GACGGACGCUGGCGGCGUGCUUAACACAUGCAAGUCGAACGGAAAGGCCCUGCUUGCAGGGUACUCGAGUGGCGAACGGGUGAGUAACACGUGGGUGAUCUGCCCUGCACUUCGGGAUAAGCCUGGGAAACUGGGUCUAAUACCGGAUAGGAGCCAUUUUUAGUGUGAUGGUUGGAAAGUUUUUUCGGUGUAGGAUGAGCUCGCGGCCUAUCAGCUUGUUGGUGGGGUAAUGGCCUACCAAGGCGGCGACGGGUAGCCGGCCUGAGAGGGUGGACGGCCACAUUGGGACUGAGAUACGGCCCAGACUCCUACGGGAGGCAGCAGUGGGGAAUAUUGCACAAUGGGCGCAAGCCUGAUGCAGCGACGCCGCGGGGGGGAUGACGGCCUUCGGGUUGUAAACUCCUUUCGCUAGGGACGAAGCUUUUUGUGACGGUACCUAGAUAAGAAGCACCGGCUAACUACGUG
rnacentral:rRNA from 1 species